AUUGAACGCUGGCGGCAGGCCUAACACAUGCAAGUCGAACGGUAACAGGAAGAAGCUUGCUUCUUUGCUGACGAGUGGCGGACGGGUGAGUAAUGUCUGGGAAACUGCCUGAUGGAGGGGGAUAACUACUGGAAACGGUAGCUAAUACCGCAUAACGUCGCAAGACCAAAGAGGGGGACCUUCGGGCCUCUUGCCAUCGGAUGUGCCCAGAUGGGAUUAGCUAGUAGGUGGGGUAACGGCUCACCUAGGCGACGAUCCCUAGCUGGUCUGAGAGGAUGACCAGCCACACUGGAACUGAGACACGGUCCAGACUCCUACGGGAGGCAGCAGUGGGGAAUAUUGCACAAUGGGCGCAAGCCUGAUGCAGCCAUGCCGCGUGUAUGAAGAAGGCCUUCGGGUUGUAAAGUACUUUGAGCGGGGAGGAAGGGAGUAAAGUUAAUACCUUUACUCAUUGACGUUACCCGCAGAAGAAGCACCGGCUAACUCCGUG
rnacentral:rRNA from 1 species